CUACGUGCCAGCAGCCGCGGUAAUACGUAUGUCACAAGCGUUAUCCGGAUUUAUUGGGCGUAAAGCGCGUCUAGGUGGUUAUGUAAGUCUGAUGUGAAAAUGCAGAGCUCAACUCUGUAUUGCGUUGGAAACUGCAUGACUAGAGUACUGGAGAGGUAAGCGGAACUACAAGUGUAGAGGUGAAAUUCGUAGAUAUUUGUAGGAAUGCCGAUGGGGAAGCCAGCUUACUGGACAGAUACUGACGCUAAAGCGCGAAAGCGUGGGUAGCAAACAGGAUUAGAUACCCUGGUAGUCCACGCCGUAAACGAUGAUUACUAGGUGUUGGGGGUCGAACCUCAGCGCCCAAGCUAACGCGAUAAGUAAUCCGCCUGGGGAGUACGUACGCAAGUAUGAAACUCAAAGGAAUUGACGGGGACCCGCACAAGCGGUGGAGCAUGUGGUUUAAUUCGACGCAACGCGAGGAACCUUACCAGCGUUUGACAUC
rnacentral:rRNA from 1 species